rnacentral:rRNA from 1 species
CAAUAGCGUAUAUUAAAGUUGUUGCAGUUAAAAAGCUCGUAGUUGGAUUUCUGGUCGGAAGCUCCUGUCCUCUGAUGAGCGUACAAGUGCGUCCUACCAUCCUUCUGUUAACCUUUAAGGCUUUCGCGGCUUUCUAGGGGCUCAGAUAUUUUACCUUGAGAAAAUUAGAGUGUUUCAGGCAGGCUAGCGCCGGAAUACAUUAGCAUGGAAUAAUGGAAUAGGACUUUUGCCUCUUCUGUUGGUCAUGAGGCUCGAGUAAUGAUUAAUAGGGAUAGUUGGGGGCAUUAGUACUUAACUGUCAGAGGUGAAAUUCUCGGAUUUGUUAAAGACUAACUUAUGCGAAANCANNNGCCAAGGAUGUUUUCAUNAA